UACCCAACAAGCUAGCCUUUCCACCCAAACCAAACCAAACCCCCUAAUUAAUACCCCCAAAAGCACUUAUAUUAAAUUAAACAAACCAUUUUUCCCCCUAAGUAUGGGCGACAGAAAAGGAAUAUUCAGAGCCAUAGAAAAAGUACCGCAAGGGAAUGCUGAAAAAGAAAUGAAACAACUCAGUAAAGUUUAAAAAAGCAGAGAUUUAUGCUCGUACCUUUUGCAUCAUGAUUUAGUCAGUAAAAUACAAGCAAAAAGUACUUUAGUUUGUCUUCCCGAAACUAAGUGAGCUACUCCAAGACAGCCUAAAAUAGGGCCAACCCGUCUCUGUGGCAAAAGAGUGGGAUGAGCUUCGAGUAGAGGUGAUAAACCUACCGAACUUAGUUAUAGCUGGUUGCCUGAGAAAUGAAUAGAAGUUCAGCUUUUUGGUUUCUCCCUCCAACCUGCCUAACUACAACCGAACCAAAGAAACCAAAAAAGUUAGUUAAAGGGGGUACAGCUCCUUUAAAUAAGAUACAACUUCACCAGCCGGGUAAAGAUCAUAUAUAACCAAGGUAAGAUGUUUUAGUGGGCCUAAAAGCAGCCACCUAUAAGAAAGCGUCAAAGCUCCUUCAUACCACCACCCCUCAAAUUCCGAUAAUACAUCCUAAACCCGCUAGUUUUAUCAAGCCGCCCCAUGCCGCCAUGGGGGUGAUUAUGCUAAAAUGAGUAAUAAGAAAAACCACUUUUUCUCCUUGCACUCGUGUAAAUCGAAACGGACUCCCCAUCGAACAUUAAUCGGCCCCAAAAAAAGAGGGUAAUGAAUUAUCAACCCCAAUAACAAGAAAAGCAUCCAAAUAUCAACCGUUAACCUCACACUAGCGUGCUUACAAGGAAAGACUAAAAGAAAAAGAAGGAACUCGGCAAAUACAAGCCUCGCCUGUUUACCAAAAACAUCGCCUCUUGAAAACUAAGCAUAAGAGGUCCCGCCUGCCCUGUGACAAAUGUUUAACGGCCGCGGUAUUUUGACCGUGCAAAGGUAGCGCAAUCACUUGUCUUUUAAAUGAAGACCUGUAUGAAUGGCAUAACGAGGGCUUAACUGUCUCCUUUUUCCAGUCAAUGAAAUUGAUCUUCCCGUGCAGAAGCGGGGAUAUAACCAUAAGACGAGAAGACCCUAUGGAGCUUUAGACACAAGACAGUUCUUGUUAAGCACUUCAAAAUAAAGAAACGAACUAAAGGGGCCCUGUCCUAAUGUCUUUGGUUGGGGCGACCACGGGGAAACAAACAACCCCCAUGCGGACUGAGAAAACAGUUCUUACAGCCAAGAGUUACAACUCUAAUUAACAGAAAUCCUGACCUCAAGAUCCGGCAAUGCCGAUCAACGGACCGAGUUACCCUAGGGAUAACAGCGCAAUCUCCUUUUAGAGUCCAUAUCGACAAGGGGGUUUACGACCUCGAUGUUGGAUCAGGACAUCCUAAUGGUGCAGCAGCUAUUAAGGGUUCGUUUGUUCAACGAUUAAAGUCCUACGUGAUCUGAGUUCAGACCGGAGUAAUCCAGGUCAGUUUCUAUCUAUGUUGUGAUCUUUUCCAGUACGAAAGGACCGAAAAGAAGGGGCCAAUACUAAAAGCACGCCCCACCCCCACCUAAUGAAGCCAACUAAAUUAGGCAAAAGGGCAUACCCCUUUUGCCUAAAAUAAUUGCAC
rnacentral:rRNA from 1 species